rnacentral:tRNA from 1 species
ACCGUUGUAGCUCAGUGGAUAGAGCAGCUUUCCGACAAUGCAGGUCGCGGGUUCGAAUCCCGCCAGCGGUA